AACUGUUAAAGAUGAUUAUAUUUCUAUUUUGAACAAUCUAUCAAUGCUAUUUAAAUAAACACAUGUCGUUAAUAACAGUUAAUAGUUUGAAAUGUGAAUACUUGAAAUGUGUAGCACAAAUAAACCAUUGAGAUCAUGUUCUUCAUAAAAAUAAAAAAUAUAAAAAAAUAACAAUGCAAAUAUGUAAUAAUAAUAAAAUUAUUUUAAAAAUAUCUACAUUUAUCUAAGUUCUCUUAUUUUUUCAUGGUGAGGUUUUAAUAAUAUGUUUGAAUUCGAAGUUCAGCACUUUUACACGUUUGUUUUAAAUGUGACGAUUGUUUCCCAAAUAAAAUAAGUACAAUGUAUUUUUAAAAAGCAGGUAAAAUACUAUAAUUUAGAAGAAGUAGAAUUUGAUCCACAUGAGUUGUUGUGUAUUGAAAUAGAAUCGAAGUAAAUAUUCCACCGUGCAUUAUUUGUGCCCGUAUCACAUUUGAAGUGUUGUUUGUCAUUCUCUCAUUUGGAGCCGCUCGCUUCUUCUCGUUGUGCCCGGUGAGAAGCUCCGGCGCGCCGGCCUGCAGGAGGAGGAGGAGGAGGAGGAGGAAGGAGGCGCUGAGGCGAUCCCCGGACCACAAAGCCGCCUCCGUGUGACACCUCUCCGGCUCCUCGUGGCGGCCUCACAGGGGCCCCGCGGGGGGGCCGAGCCGCCGCAUGAGAACCUCCGGGUCAGCAGAACCAUCGGGACGCUUCGUAUUUGUGUUGCUGUUUUAAUAUCACAGCCAGGAGUUUAUUCCAUGACGGAACGAGUCAAAGAGGAACUACGAAGAGUGGAAAUAUUACCUUUCACUUCAUAUGUAUUUCAUUUAGCAGUUAUAUUUUAAGCCCCACCCGCCCCUGAUCCCGGGGCCGCCGCCGGACCGUCGCCUAGGCAACCCCCAUCACACGACGACGCCCCGGUCCUCCUUUUCUCCUCCACCUCCUCCACCUCCUCGCGUGGACCCCUCGGAGAGACGGAGACAGAAUUAGAGAUGUCUCUUAAUAAGAGUCCCGGUGCUAAAAGAAAAUGACCGAUAUUCUUCUUCAGGCAGGAAGUGAUUUGAACUGCGGACAGUUUUCUUUUUUGUGGGAAACCAGCGGGGGAGAUUAGCUCGAUUAAGGCCGAAUCAGACCUGCUUCCAAUCUGAUGAGGGAAGAAGAAGAUAAUGGUUCCUCAUGCGGCUCGAGGGAAUUAAAGCGCGCUUUGUCUCUCCGUCUCUCCGGGUGACUCCGGCCCCACAGCCAAUCACAGAGGAGGAAGCUAAUGUCCCGUUUUCCUCCUGUGAAUUACCUUCAUGUCCAACAUCGUUUCAUUAGGUGAUUUCUUUUAAAUGGGGGGGGGGGGGGUCAUAGUCAGGACUGUAUUAAAUAGUUGGGUAGAAAAUGUGUGUAAAUAACUCGUUUACACAGAGCUGUAGAUGUGCAGCAGCAAUAACUAAUGUCAUUUUGUGUUAUAUUUUCAUGCACUUGUUUGUUUAUUGAUUAUUGUGCAACUUAAUCAAGGAAUAUAUAUAUUUUUGGUUUAAUUUGCACUGAGUAGAUGGUGUGAGGCAGAGAUUUCCAUCAGUGGAAUAAAUCCAUCAGUAACGUGGUUUAUUUAUCCUACAUUGUGUGUAAAUAUUUAUCAUGGUUAUUGAUUGUGUAUAUCUUAAUAUAAAGACAUUUUCAAAAGGACAAAACUUUUGAAAAUGUCUAACUGAUGAGAACCUUAAUCUCUUGUCAAGGUUCGUUAUCAGGUUUUAUUUCGAGGACGAGAUGAUGAGUGAUCUUUAUGAGAAAAGUCAACUGGUGUCAGAAGGUUUCAGCUUUUACGCUUUUAUCGAAAAUUACUUGAAAAGUAAUUCAACUUUAGAUGUGAGAAGUAUGAACAAGAAUGAACUAAAAACAUGGCUGGUGGAAAUUACUAAAAAGUAAUUACACCGACUUUAAAGCAUGUAAACAAUAUUUCAUAUGAAUCUAUUCUUCCUAAAUAUACUACAUAUAUAGUUUCUA